AGUGAACGCUGGCGGCGUGCCUAAUACGUGCAAGUCGAACGGAGAUUAAGUAGCUUGCUAUUUAAUCUUAGUGGCGCACGGGUGAGUAAUAUAUAGCUAACUUGCCCAUUACUAAGGGACAACAGUUGGAAACGACUGCUAAUACCUUAUACUCCGUAUCUAUAUAAGUAGAUACGGGAAAGUUUUUCGGUAAUGGAUAGGGCUAUAUCGUAUCAGCUAGUUGGUAAGGUAAUGGCUUACCAAGGCUAUGACGCGUAACUGGUCUGAGAGGAUGAUCAGUCACACUGGAACUGAGACACGGGCCAGACUCCUACGGGAGGCAGCAGUAGGGAAUAUUGCUCAAUGGGGGAAACCCUGAAGCAGCAACGCCGCGUGGAGGAUGACACUUUUCGGAGCGGAAACUCCUUUUCUUGGGAAAGAAUUAUGACGGUACCCAAGGAAUAAGCACCGGCUAACUCCGUG
rnacentral:rRNA from 1 species